AGUGAACGCUGGCGGUAGGCCUAACACAUGCGAGUCGAACGGCAGCACAGUAAGAGCUUGCUCUUACGGGUGGCGAGUGGCGGACGGGUGAGGAAUACAUCGGAAUCUACUUUUUCGUGGGGGAUAACGUAGGGAAACUUACGCUAAUACCGCAUACGACCUACGGGUGAAAGCAGGGGAUCUUCGGACCUUGCGCGAUUGAAUGAGCCGAUGUCGGAUUAGCUAGUUGGCGGGGUAAAGGCCCACCAAGGCGACGAUCCGUAGCUGGUCUGAGAGGAUGAUCAGCCACACUGGAACUGAGACACGGUCCAGACUCCUACGGAAGGCAGCAGUGGGGAAUAUUGGACAAUGGGCGCAAGCCUGAUCCAGCCAUACCGCGUGGGUGAAGAAGGCCUUCGGGUUGUAAAGCCCUUUUGUUGGGAAAGAAAAGCAGCAGGUUAAUACCCCGCUGUUCUGACGGUACCCAAAGAAUAAGCACCGGCUAACUUCGUG
rnacentral:rRNA from 1 species